rnacentral:rRNA from 1 species
UACGUAGGGGGCAAGCGUUGUCCGGAAUCAUUGGGCGUAAAGCGCGUGUAGGCGGCUGAGUAAGUCUGCUCUGAAAGCCCGGGGCUCAACCCCGGGAGGCGGGUGGAUACUGCUCAGCUCGAGUCCGGAAGAGGAGUGUGGAAUUCCUGGUGUAGCGGUGAAAUGCGCAGAUAUCAGGAGGAACACCAAUGGCGAAGGCAGCACUCUGGGACGGUACUGACGCUAAGGCGCGAAAGCGUGGGGAGCAAACAGG